UGGUAGGGAUACCUGGCCUAGCUGCCAUGGC
rnacentral:sRNA from 1 species